rnacentral:rRNA from 1 species
UACACUCCUGCGGGAGGCAGCAGUGGGGAAUAUUGGACAAUGGGCGCAAGCCUGAUCCAGCCAUGCCGCGUGAGUGAUGAAGGCCCUAGGGUUGUAAAGCUCUUUCACCGGUGAAGAUAAUGACGGUAACCGGAGAAGAAGCCCCGGCUAACUUCGUGCCAGCAGCCGCGGUAAUACGAAGGGGGCUAGCGUUGUUCGGAUUUACUGGGCGUAAAGCGCACGUAGGCGGACUAUUAAGUCAGGGGUGAAAUCCCGGGGCUCAACCCCGGAACUGCCUUUGAUACUGGUAGUCUUGAGUUCGAGAGAGGUGAGUUGAAUUCCGAGUGUAGAGGUGAAAUUCGUAGAUAUUCGGAGGAACACCAGUGGCGAAGGCGGCUCACUGGCUCGAUACUGACGCUGAGGUGCGAAAGCGUGGGGAGCAAACAGGAUUAGAAACCCGAGUAGUCCCAUGA